GACAUAGGUCGCAAACGUUAUCCGGAAUUAUUGGGCGUAAAGGAUGCGUAGAUGGCGAGAUAAGUUAGUAGUGGCAAAUCGGGGCUCAACCCCGUGGAAGCUGGUAAUACUGUCUGGCUGGAGGGCAGGAGGAGUUAACGGAACUCCCUGUGGAGCGGUGAAAUGCGUAGAUAUAGGGAAGAACACCAAUCAGCGAAGGCAGUUAACUAUUCUGUUCCUGACAUUGAGGCAUGAAAGCGUGGGGAGCAAAACGG
rnacentral:rRNA from 1 species